AUUGAACGCUGGCGGCAGGCCUAACACAUGCAAGUCGAGCGAGCGGCGGACGGGUGAGUAAUGUCUGGGAAACUGCGUGAUGGAGGGGGAUAACUACUGGAAACGGUAGCUAAUACCGCAUACCAUCAGAUGUGCCCAGAUGGGAUUAGCUCGGAGGUGGGGUAACGGCUCACCAAGGCGCAGAUCCCUAGCUGGUCUGAGAGGAUGACCAGCCACACUGUAACCGAGACACGGUCCAGACUCCUACGGGAGGCAGCAGUGGGGAAUAUUGCACAAUGGGCGCAAGCCGGAUGCAGCCAUGCCGUGUGUGUGAAGAAGGCCUGCGGGUUGUAAAGCACUUUCAGCGGGUAGGCGUUACCCGCAGAAGAAGCACCGGCUAACUCCGUGCCAGCAGCCGCGGUAAUAC
rnacentral:rRNA from 1 species